rnacentral:rRNA from 1 species
UUUGGUCAGAUACAAGAUCCUUUCUCCCCAGUGGCCCGGGCGUGAUGAUUCAAUCUCGUGGUCUCCUGUGUCGUUGGCGUUGUUACCCCGCAUUUCUAGCCUGAUGGGUUCGGCCWUGUUGCCUGACUUGCUACUCGAUUAUUAUACACCUUUUCACACGSUAUUAUAGCAGCUCUCACUGGGUCGUCCAUGCCACGCCGAUGUCCUCACGGACCGCCGCAGCAUCUCCGGUGUCUUUCACGCCCGMAGGCAUGUUUCCAUGACAUUACAUUGCUAUUAACGCACUUUCGUCUCUUUGAUCAAUUUAAGCUCACACAAUUGAUUUGGAUUCAGCAUAUUCCAGGAUCAGUCACUUGGAAGUAAAAAUCGUAACAAGGUUUCCGUAGGUGAACCUGCGGAAGGAUCAUUAAAGAGUAAGGGUGCUCAGCGCCCGACCUCCAACCCUUUGUUGUUAAAACUACCUUGUUGCUUUGGCGGGACCGCUCGGUCUCGAGCCGCUGGGGAUUCGUCCCAGGCGAGCGCCCGCCAGAGUUAAACCAAACUCUUGUUAUUAAACCGGUCGUCUGAGUUAAAAUUUUGAAUAAAUCAAAACUUUCAACAACGGAUCUCUUGGUUCUCGCAUCGAUGAAGAACGCAGCGAAAUGCGAUAAGUAAUGUGAAUUGCAGAAUUCAGUGAAUCAUCGAAUCUUUGAACGCACAUUGCGCCCCUUGGUAUUCCGAGGGGCAUGCCUGUUCGAGCGUCAUUACACCACUCAAGCUAUGCUUGGUAUUGGGUGCCGUCCUUAGUUGGGCGCGCCUUAAAGACCUCGGCGAGGCCUCACCGGCUUUAGGCGUAGUAGAAUUUAUUCGAACGUCUGUCAAAGGAGAGGACUUCUGCCGACUGAAACCUUUUAUUUUUCUAGGUGACCUCAGAUGCAUGUAACGUGAACUGCCAGGG